AUAUGUUUAAAACCUGAGACACCAGAUACUAAUAAAAGUCUGGAUGAGCUCCAUAUCUCAGUUCUCUGCCCUCAAAGAAUACAGAGGAGAUAGAUGUCAGCAGUUGAUAUGUGUCAAUAUAUGCCAGCUACUUGGAAUGUAUUAUUUCACUGUAAUCUCUAUAACAGCUUUUAUACAGAUAUAAUCAUUCCCACUUUAGUAAUAGUUUGCAUGAGGCAGGGUCAGCAUUCAAUCCUACAAGCAUGUCUUGCCUUGGAGCCCUUAAUUCUCCAGGUACCCAAACUCCUAGGUAAGAAUAUCAGUUCUCCCAGGUGAUUUGCUCAGAAUUACAUGAGAAAAUUUAACAACUGGGCUAGAGGCCUUGAAUAGGAGGAAACGCGGAAGACAUAGUCCAAUGAAUGAGAAGUAGGAAAGGAGAGUAGAAAAGUUGGAGUAGCCUAAGGCAGCUAAUAUUGGGGUUAAAAGAAUCCCCAGGAAGAGCACUGCAUAUCCAUGAUGGGAUGGGAAAGGCAGCCGUUUUUUUAAUCAGGAUGAGAAGAUUAGAGGAGGAUAAGGAAAGGAUGGCUACAGAGGUUAAUAAAAUUAAGAUGGACCGCACAUGGAGGCACCCAGCAACUGUGGGCCUGUGGUGGGAAGUGGGAAGUGAUGGUGAGGGCAAAUCAGAAGAAGAAGAGAGUUAAAUUUUAUUAUUACUUCUGGAUCCCAGCUCGAACCAGCUUGAAAUUGACCUCAUUCUCACCAUUCCAUGUCCUAAUGUGGGGACUAGCAUCACUAAUGUAAAAUCUACUUAAGCUUGCCUUUGAGACUUUGCAUCUGAAAUAUUGAGGUGACCCUGACAUUGGAAUCCUGGUCACUUGCCCAAUGUUAAGAUGAUGAGACAUAUUUCCGGCUCCCACGUGUCUUCCACUGAUAAGAGUUGUGUGAAGCUGUGGUGAUGCUCAAGCCUAGCUGCAUUAUUAGACUCACCUGGGCAGUUUUUAGAACUAAAAAGUCUGGGCCUCAGCCCAGUAAAACCGAACCAGAACUGUGGGGACAGGAAGGGCCUGGGCAAUGGUAGGUUUCAAACCCUCCCAAGGGGGUUCUAAAGUGCAGCAAGGGCUUAGAACUAAUGAGAGCAUCUUGCUCUCUGAACUGCAUAGUCAAAGAAACAAAGGAUGAGAUGUUAUGUAUUGAAUCCUCAAGCAAGUUUUAUAUUCUUAUAUGUUAGCUAGGACCUCUGCUGUGAGAUAAUUUGUCAA